AGCAGCCGCGGUAAUUCCAGCUCCAAUAGCGUAUAUUAAAGUUGUUGCAGUUAAAAAGCUCGUAGUUGAAUUUCGAGAUCAAAUUGUUGGUCGUGCCUCGGUACGUACUGGCAUUAUUGAUUCCUCCCUUCUGAAGAACCACGAUGUCAUUAAUUUGGUGUCGUGGGGAAUCAGGACUGUUACUUUGAAAAAUUAGAGUGUUUAAAGCAGGCUCACGCUUGAAUACAUUAGCAUGGAAUAAUGAAAUAGGACGUUCGAUUCUAUUUUGUUGGUUUCUAGGAUCGACGUAAUGAUUAAUAGGGAUAGUUGGGGGCAUUAGUAUUCAAUUGUCAGAGGUGAAAUUCUUGGAUUUAUUGAAGACUAACUACUGCGAAAGCAUUUGCCAAGGAUGUUUUCAUUAAUCAAGAACGAAAGUUAGGGGAUCGAAGACGAUCAGAUACCGUCGUAGUC
rnacentral:rRNA from 1 species